rnacentral:rRNA from 1 species
GGCUUGUUGAUUAUAAUUUCAGGUCUGGCCUGCCCUAUGAGUUGAUUAAAUGGCCGCGGUAAUUUGACCGUGCAAAGGUAGCAUAAUCAUUAGUUUUUUAAUUGAGAGCUUGAAUGAAAGGUUUGAUGAGGAAAUUUCUGUCUCUAGAAGAAUUUAUUAAAAUUUUAUUUUUAAGUAAAAAAGCUUAAAUGUUUAUAGAAGACGAGAAGACCCUAUAGAGUUUUAUUGUUUUAUUAUAGACUAUAUUUUAAGAGUUAAAAAUAUAAUUUUUUAUGAAAUAAUUUUGUUGGGGUGAUAGAAAAAUUUGAAAAACUUUUUUUUAUUUAAACAUUUAUUUAUGAGUUUAUGAUCCUAUAAUUUGGGUUAAAAGAUUAAAUUACCUUAGGGAUAACAGCGUUAUUUUUUCUAGAGUUCUUAUCGAAGAAAAAGCUUGCGACCUCGAUGUUGGAUUAAAGUAAGCUGUUUGGUGUAGAAGCUAAUAAGUUUAGUCUGUUCGACUUUUAAAACUUUACAUGAUCUGAGUUUAAACCGGUGUGAG